GAUCCUGGCUCAGAGCGAACGCUGGCGGCAGGCCUAACACAUGCAAGUCGAGCGCCGUAGCAAUACGGAGCGGCAGACGGGAGAGUAACACGUGGGAACGUGCCCUUCAGUUCGGAACAACCCAGGGAAACUUGGGCUAAUACCGGAUACGUCCGAAAGGAGAAAGAUUUAUCGCUGAAGGAUCGGCCCGCGUCUGAUUAGCUAGUUGGUGAGGUAACGGCUCACCAAGGCGACGAUCAGUAGCUGGUCUGAGAGGAUGAUCAGCCUCACUGGGACUGAGACACGGCCCAGACUCCUACGGGAGGCAGCAGUGGGGAAUAUUGGACAAUGGGCGCAAGCCUGAUCCCAGCCAUGCCGCGUGGAUGAUGAAGGCCCUAGGGUUGUAAAGUCCUUUCGGCGGGGAAGAUAAUGACGGUACCCGCAGAAGAAGCCCCGGCUAACUUCGUGCCAGCAGCUGC
rnacentral:rRNA from 1 species